GUUAAGCGACUAAGCGUACACGGUGGAUGCCCUGGCAGUCAGAGGCGAUGAAGGACGUGCUAAUCUGCGAUAAGCGUCGGUAAGGUGAUAUGAACCGUUAUAACCGGCGAUUUCCGAAUGGGGAAACCCAGUGUGUUUCGACACACUAUCAUUAACUGAAUCCAUAGGUUAAUGAGGCGAACCGGGGGAACUGAAACAUCUAAGUACCCCGAGGAAAAGAAAUCAACCGAGAUUCCCCCAGUAGCGGCGAGCGAACGGGGAGCAGCCCAGAGCCUGAAUCAGUGUGUGUGUUAGUGGAAGCGUCUGGAAAGGCGCGCGAUACAGGGUGACAGCCCCGUACACAAAAAUGCACAUGCUGUGAGCUCGAUGAGUAGGGCGGGACACGUGGUAUCCUGUCUGAAUAUGGGGGGACCAUCCUCCAAGGCUAAAUACUCCUGACUGACCGAUAGUGAACCAGUACCGUGAGGGAAAGGCGAAAAGAACCCCGGCGAGGGGAGUGAAAAAGAACCUGAAACCGUGUACGUACAAGCAGUGGGAGCCUCUUUUAUGGGGUGACUGCGUACCUUUUGUAUAAUGGGUCAGCGACUUAUAUUCUGUAGCAAGGUUAACCGAAUAGGGGAGCCGAAGGGAAACCGAGUCUUAACUGGGCGUUAAGUUGCAGGGUAUAGACCCGAAACCCGGUGAUCUAGCCAUGGGCAGGUUGAAGGUUGGGUAACACUAACUGGAGGACCGAACCGACUAAUGUUGAAAAAUUAGCGGAUGACUUGUGGCUGGGGGUGAAAGGCCAAUCAAACCGGGAGAUAGCUGGUUCUCCCCGAAAGCUAUUUAGGUAGCGCCUCGUGAAUUCAUCUCCGGGGGUAGAGCACUGUUUCGGCAAGGGGGUCAUCCCGACUUACCAACCCGAUGCAAACUGCGAAUACCGGAGAAUGUUAUCACGGGAGACACACGGCGGGUGCUAACGUCCGUCGUGAAGAGGGAAACAACCCAGACCGCCAGCUAAGGUCCCAAAGUCAUGGUUAAGUGGGAAACGAUGUGGGAAGGCCCAGACAGCCAGGAUGUUGGCUUAGAAGCAGCCAUCAUUUAAAGAAAGCGUAAUAGCUCACUGGUCGAGUCGGCCUGCGCGGAAGAUGUAACGGGGCUAAACCAUGCACCGAAGCUGCGGCAGCGACGCUUAUGCGUUGUUGGGUAGGGGAGCGUUCUGUAAGCCUGUGAAGGUGUGCUGUGAGGCAUGCUGGAGGUAUCAGAAGUGCGAAUGCUGACAUAAGUAACGAUAAAGCGGGUGAAAAGCCCGCUCGCCGGAAGACCAAGGGUUCCUGUCCAACGUUAAUCGGGGCAGGGUGAGUCGACCCCUAAGGCGAGGCCGAAAGGCGUAGUCGAUGGGAAACAGGUUAAUAUUCCUGUACUUGGUGUUACUGCGAAGGGGGGACGGAGAAGGCUAUGUUGGCCGGGCGACGGUUGUCCCGGUUUAAGCGUGUAGGCUGGUUUUCCAGGCAAAUCCGGAAAAUCAAGGCUGAGGCGUGAUGACGAGGCACUACGGUGCUGAAGCAACAAAUGCCCUGCUUCCAGGAAAAGCCUCUAAGCAUCAGGUAACAUCAAAUCGUACCCCAAACCGACACAGGUGGUCAGGUAGAGAAUACCAAGGCGCUUGAGAGAACUCGGGUGAAGGAACUAGGCAAAAUGGUGCCGUAACUUCGGGAGAAGGCACGCUGAUAUGUAGG
rnacentral:rRNA from 1 species